AUCGGGUGGGACWCCCCGCUGAACUUAAGCAUAUCAAUAAGCGGAGGAAAAGAAACUAACAAGGAUUCCCCUAGUAACGGCGAGUGAAGAGGGAAAAGCUCAAAUUUUGAAUCUGGUGUCUUUGGCGCCCGAGUUGUAAUCUAGAGAAGUGUUUUCUGCCUCGGACCACACAUAAAUUCCCUGGAAUGGGGUGUCAUAGAGGGUGAGAAUCCCGUUUGUGGUGUGGACUACCUUGGCUCUGUGAUACACUCUCAACGAGUCGAGUUGUUUGGGAAUGCAGCUCAAAAUGGGUGGUAAAUUCCAUCUAAAGCUAAAUAUUGGCGAGAGACCGAUAGCGAACAAGUACCGUGAGGGAAAGAUGAAAAGCACUUUGGAAAGAGAGUGAAACAGUACGUGAAAUUGUUGAAAGGGAAGCGUUUGAAGUCAGUYGCAUUGGUCGGAACUCAGCCUGGCUUCUGCCUGGUGUAUUUUCUGGCAAAUGGGUCAGUGUCAAUUUUGAUCGAGAGAGAAAGACUUGAGGAAUGUGGCUGUCUUCGGGCAGUGUUAUAGCCUCUUGUUGUAUGUCUCGGUUGGGAUUGAGGAACGCAGCACGCCUUUUGGCCGGGGUUCGCGCCCUCGGUACGUGCUUAGGACACUGGCAUAAUGGCUUUAAGCGACCCGUCUUGAAACACGGA
rnacentral:rRNA from 1 species